rnacentral:rRNA from 1 species
ACACAUGCAAGUCGAGGGGCAGCAUCAUUAAAGCUUGCUUUGAUGGAUGGCGACCGGCGCACGGGUGAGUAACACGUAUCCAACCUGCCGACAACACUGGGAUAGCCUUUCGAAAGAAAGAUUAAUACCGGAUGGCAUAGUCUUCCCGCAUGGGAUGACUAUUAAAGAAUUUCGGUUGUCGAUGGGGAUGCGUUCCAUUAGGCAGUUGGCGGGGUAACGGCCCACCAAACCAACGAUGGAUAGGGGUUCUGAGAGGAAGGUCCCCCACAUUGGAACUGAGACACGGUCCAAACUCCUACGGGAGGCAGCAGUGAGGAAUAUUGGUCAAUGGACGAGAGUCUGAACCAGCCAAGUAGCGUGAAGGAUGACUGCCCUAUGGGUUGUAAACUUCUUUUAUACGGGAAUAAAGUGAGCCACGUGUGGCUUUUUGUAUGUACCGUAUGAAUAAGGAUCGGCUAACUCCGUGCCAGCAGCCGCGGUAAUACGGAGGAUCCGAGCGUUAUCCGGAUUUAUUGGGUUUAAAGGGAGCGUAGGCGGGUUGUUAAGUCAGUUGUGAAAGUUUGCGGCUCGACCGUAAAAUUGCAGUUGAUACUGGCGACCUUGAGUGCAACAGAGG